GCCCGUCCGUGCUGGGCGGACGGAGCAGCAUCAGGUGCAGCAUGGAGGACGACGCCCCCGUCAUCUACGGCCUGGAAUUCCAGGCCCGGGCCCUGACACCUCAGACGGCAGAAACGGAUGCCAUUCGCUUCCUGGUGGGGACCCAGUCUCUCAAAUACGACAAUCAGAUCCACAUCAUUGAUUUUGAUGACGAAAAUAACAUCAUAAGCAAAAACGUCCUCCUCCACGCCGCGGGUGAGAUCUGGCAGAUCAGCAGCAGCCCGGCCGACAAAGGGGUGCUCGCCACCUGCUACAGCAAGAUUUCCGACAGCAAAGUCGUGUCCUGCGCGGCCGUGUGGAGGAUGCCGAAGGAAUUGGAAUUAGGCAGUCACGAAUCCCCGGAUGAUUCAUCGAUCAACACUCAAACCCUGAAGCUACUCUGUCACCUUGACAACACAGCCCACGGCAACAUGGCCUGUGUUGCCUGGGAGCCAAUGGGAGAUGGGAAAAAAGUCAUUUCGUUGGCGGAUAAUCAUCUACUGCUGUGGGAUUUACAAGAAAGCUCAAGCCAAGCCGUGCUAUCGAGUUCUGCGGCUCUGGAAGGGAAAGGCCAGUUGAAGUUCACGUCCGGCCGGUGGAGCCCGCAUCACAACUGCACGCAGAUCGCGACCGCCAAUGACACGGCCAUCCGAGGAUGGGACACGAGAAGCAUGAGCCAGAUCUACUGCAUAGAAAACGCCCACGGACAGCUUGUGCGGGAUCUUGACUUUAACCCCAAUAAGCAGUACUACCUGGCUAGCUGUGGGGACGAUUGCAAAGUCAAGUUCUGGGACACGCGGAACGUCGCGGACCCCGUGAAGACGUUGGAAGAGCAUUCCCACUGGGUGUGGAACGUCCGCUACAACCACUCCCACGACCAGUUAAUCCUGACGGGCAGCAGUGACAGUCGAGUGAUUCUUUCCAACAUGGUGUCGAUUUCCUCGGAGCCCUUUGGGCACCUGGUAGACGACGACGACCUCAGCGAUCCGGAAGACCACCACCAAGAAGAAAAAACCAAGGAGCCUCUCGAGGACAGCGUCAUAGCCACAUACGAGGAGCACGAAGACAGCGUGUACGCGGUGGAGUGGUCCUCGGCGGACCCGUGGCUCUUCGCCUCCCUGAGUUACGACGGAAGACUCGUGAUUAACCGAGUUCCCAGGGCGCUGAAGUAUCACAUCUUGCUCUGACUGUCCCCCGGCGUCGCUUCCCGCUCUGUUCUCGGCUCCGACAUUGGCGGUUUUUUCCAGGUAAUCGGCUUUCCUUUUCCCAAAAAGUUCUCAAUCUGGGACUGUCCACUGCUAACUAUUUUUUUUUUGGGAGCCAUUAAAAAGAGCAGCAAAAUCUCCCAUCAAUCAAUGGUCAGAUUGACUCUUUAAAAAUGUUUUCUCACCAGGAAAGAUGAAAAGGAUUUUUUUUUCCAAAUGGUAUUGGUUAUUCAUUGUCCCCUGCUACACUUUCCAUUAAUGUAGGUGUUGGGGGAGAGGGGAGAUGUGUUCUUGUCAAAUCACUACAGAUUUUCCCGGUUCUCAGGGGCUCUAUCCCUUUCAAAAGCACGAAGAUCAUUUGAUUUCUACUUGGUUUCAGGGUUUGGUUUCUUAAAAAUAAAAAAAACCCUAAUAACCAUACUUGCGAAUUUUUCUGGUUCAUUGUCCCCUGCUACACUGUCCAUUAAUGUAGGUGUUGGGGGAGAGGGGAGAUGUGUUCUUAUCAAAUCACUACAGAUUUUCCCGGUUCUCAGGGGCUCUAUCACUUUCAAAAGCACGAAGAUCAUUUGAUUUCUACUUCAUUCCAAGGUUUGCUUUCUUAAAAAUAAAAAAAACCCCUAAUAACCGUA